rnacentral:rRNA from 1 species
UGCAGUCGAGGGGUAGAGAGAGCUUGCUUUCUUGAGACCGGCGCACGGGUGAGUAACGCGUAUGCAACCUACCUUAUACUGGGGGAUAGCCCAAAGAAAUUUGGAUUAAUACCGCAUAAUAUAUUUGAAUCGCAUGGUUURAAUAUUAAAACUCCGGUGGUAUAAGAUGGGCAUGCGUAGCAUUAGUUUGUUGGUGAGGUAACGGCUCACCAAGACUAUGAUGCUUAGGGGGUCUGAGAGGAUAGUCCCCCACACUGGUACUGAGACACGGACCAGACUCCUACGGGAGGCAGCAGUGAGGAAUAUUGGUCAAUGGACGCAAGUCUGAACCAGCCAUGUCGCGUGCAGGAUGACGGCCCUAUGGGUUGUAAACUGCUUUUUUACAGGAAUAAUUGCAGGUACGUGUACCUGUUUGAAUGUACUGUAUGAAUAAGGAUCGGCUAACUCCGUGCCAGCAGCCGCGGUAAUACGGAGGAUUCGAGCGUUAUCCGGAUUUAUUGGGUUUAAAGGGUCCGUAGGCGGCUUUUUAAGUCAGUGGUGAAAUCCCAGAGCUCAACUCUGGAACUGCCAUUGAAACUGAAGAGCUUGAAUAUGGUUGAGGUAGGCGGAAUACGUUAUGUAGCGGUGAAAUGCAUAGAUAUAACGUAGAACACCAAUUGCGAAGGCAGCUUACUAAACCAUUAUUGACGCUGAUGGACGAAAGCGUGGGGAGCGAACAGGAUUAGAUACCCUGGUAGUCCACGCCGUAAACGAUGAUUACUCGUUGUGCACAAUACACCGUGCGUGACUGAGCGAAAGCAUUAAGUAAUCCACCUGGGGAGUACGUUCGCAAGAAUGAAACUCAAAGGAAUUGACGGGGGCCCGCACAAGCGGAGGAACAUGUGGUUUAAUUCGAUGAUACGCGAGGAACCUUACCUGGACUUAAAUGUAGAUUGACCGGUUUAGAAAUAGAUCUUCCCUUCGGGGCAAUUUACAAGGUGCUGCAUGGUUGUCGUCAGCUCGUGCCGUGAGGUGUCGGGUUAAGUCCCAUAACGAGCGCAACCCCUAUCGUUAGUUGCUAGCAGGUAAUGCUGAGGACUCUAGCGAGACUGCCACCGUAAGGUGAGAGGAAGGUGGGGAUGACGUCAAAUCAGCACGGCCCUUACGUCCAGGGCUACACACGUGUUACAAUGGCCAGUACAAAGGGCAGCUACCUGGUGACAGGAUGCUAAUCUCAAAAGCUGGUCUCAGUUCGGAUCGGAGUCUGCAACUCGACUCCGUGAAGUUGGAUUCGCUAGUAAUCGUAUAUCAGCAAUGAUACGGUGAAUACGUUCCCGGGCCUUGUACACACCGCCCGUCAAGCCAUGGAAGCCGAGGGUGCCUGAAGUACGUACCGCAAGG